AUGCUUUUCGAGUCUGACACCAACUCUGACCAAAGGCUGAGGCACAAUGACAGUCUCUCUCUGCUGCCUCUUCACAGAAUCAUCUCCACAACAGGCAGCCCACACUCAGCUCAAACAUCUCCUCCUACAAAGAGCCAUUUAAUGAAUUCACAGGAGCAACCUCCAGUAAUUUACAGGUUUGACCUUUCCUCUGCAUGUUCCAGUAGCUGAAAAGAUGGAGCCACCUACACCUUCAACACACCGUUCAACACAAUAAUGCACCGAAAAUCAGUAAAGAGAAGAGGCCUUUUUUUAUGCAACAACAACAGAGCUGUAGGUCCUGGGGGCAGUGACUGUGUGGGUCAUUUACCCAAUCAGACCGGCUAUUUUGGUUCAUGUCCAGCAGCAAGAGUGCAGAAGGGUUUGAUGAAGGCAGAAUACCAAGUCAGAGCCGAGCAGUGUGAGGUGUGAGUGAUUCUGUGGUAGCGCUGCUGCUUUCAGAAUAUUACCCCUGGCCACAUCUCAUAUCUCAACCUCCAGCUCUUUAGUCAAUGGCAGCAACAUCUGUGAUCCUGUUAUCUCGACCUACCAUCUCGUCAUUUCCCGUCACUGCAAACUUUUCCAUGCCUACACUGUUGUUUAGGUUCUGCGGUGGCAUUUUCAGCCACAAAUGGCCAGUCUGGUGCUGACGGAUACGCAGGAAGCCGAGCCGAACAGACACUGCACUGCACUGAUGUCCUGUCAAUAAUAUCCAGUUUAGUUGUCCGAGCUGCUGCCACUGUCCCCUCCUGGGCUGCUUUUUCAAACGUUUAGAUAAAAUAACAUAUUUACUGAUGAAGCAAACGAAGGAUGCCCUGAAAUGGAACAGGUGUUACGGUGUAAUCAGUCUAGAAAUGCAGACUUUGGAAAUUCUCAUCCCUUAAGUGGGAGCAGCUAUUGUUUAAGUGAACAUAAUUUCCAUCGAAUGCAACCGAGACUUCUGUGUAAUGUCUGCAAACACUCCCUGAGACUGUGAGCCGAACGUCCACCAGGUUCUGUGGCCAAAUUACUCCCCUGAUCUCUGGACAUGCUGUUAACAUCAAGGCAGCACAAUAAAUACAUUAAACAAACGAAGAGCUAUUCUGAUGACUGCUGAUACCAAUAUCACGUGAUGCUAUAAUUUUGCUCUUAAAGGGAAACCAAUAUAUGGUAUAUAUACUGAAUAUUUUGGAGAAAUGGAAAGUGUAUGUUAAAUUUAAAUGAAAUGUAAAACUGUGUCCACAGUUACUGAAAUGAUUGCGUCAUGUUUUGGUCCAUGGUGGUGCAGCUGUGCUAGUUUCUAGCGGAUGAUUGGUGUUUCCACUUUUUGUAAGUGCUCUUGAAGACAUUUGUCACCGAGAGAUUUCCAUCAGGAUACAGUAUGAUGUAAAAGAACAAACUUUGAUGUCAGACUUACAGAAACACCCCCCUCAAUCUAAAGCUGCGCCGUGAUUUCACUCUUCCCUUUUCUUUGGCAAUUAGAGCACUUCAUGUUUUCAUCAUGAAGCUGUCU